rnacentral:rRNA from 1 species
UACGUAGGGUGCGAGCGUUAAUCGGAAUUACUGGGCGUAAAGCGUGCGCAGGCGGUUUUGUAAGUCAGAUGCGAAAUCCCCGGGCUUAACCUGGGAACUGCGUUUGAAACUACAAGGCUAGAGUGUAGCAGAGGGGGGUGGAAUUCCACGUGUAGCAGUGAAAUGCGUAGAGAUGUGGAGGAACACCGAUGGCGAAGGCAGCCCCCUGGGUUAACACUGACGCUCAGGCACGAAAGCGUGGGGAGCAAACAGG